UACGGGGGGGGGUAAGCGUUGUUCGGAAUUACUGGGCGUAAAGGGCGCGUAGGUGGCCUGUUAAGUCGAACGUGAAAUCCCCGGGCUCAACCCGGGAACUGCGUCCGAGACUGGCAGGCUCGAAUCUGGGAGAGGGAUGUGGAAUUCCAGGUGUAGCGGUGAAAUGCGUAGAUAUCUGGAGGAAUACCGGUGGCGAAGGCGGCAUCCUGGACCGGCAUUGACGCUGAGGAGCGAAAGCCAGGGGGAGCAAACGGG
rnacentral:rRNA from 1 species